rnacentral:rRNA from 1 species
CUCNAGUGGCGAACGGGUGAGUAACACGUGGGUGAUCUGCCCUGCACUUUGGGAUAAGCCUGGGAAACUGGGUCUAAUACCGAAUAGGACCACGCGCUUCAUGGUGUGUGGUGGAAAGCUUUUGCGGUGUGGGAUGGGCCCGCGGCCUAUCAGCUUGUUGGUGGGGUAAUGGCCUACCAAGGCGACGACGGGUAGCCGGCCUGAGAGGGUGACCGGCCACACUGGGACUGAGAUACGGCCCAGACUCCUACGGGAGGCAGCAGUGGGGAAUAUUGCACAAUGGGCGCAAGCCUGAUGCAGCGACGCCGCGUGAGGGAUGACGGCCUUCGGGUUGUAAACCUCUUUCAAUAGGGACGAAGCGNGAGUGACGGUACCUAUAGAAGAAGCACCGGCCAACUACGUGCCAGCAGCCGCGGUAAUACGUAGGGUGCGAGCGUUGUCCGGAAUUACUGGGCGUAAAGAGCUCGUAGGUGGUUUGUCGCGUUGUUCGUGAAAACUCACAGCUUAACUGUGGGCGUGCGGGCGAUACGGGCAGACUAGAGUACUGCAGGGGAGACUGGAAUUCCUGGUGUAGCGGUGGAAUGCGCAGAUAUCAGGAGGAACACCGGUGGCGAAGGCGGGUCUCUGGGCAGUAACUGACGCUGAGGAGCGAAAGCGUGGGGAGCGAACAGGAUUAGAUACCCUGGUAGUCCACGCCGUAAACGGUGGGUACUAGGUGUGGGUUCCUUCCUUGGGAUCCGUGCCGUAGCUAACGCAUUAAGUACCCCGCCUGGGGAGUACGGCCGCAAGGCUAAAACUCAAAGGAAUUGACGGGGGCCCGCACAAGCGGCGGAGCAUGUGGAUUAAUUCGAUGCAACGCGAAGAACCUUACCUGGGUUUGACAUGCACAGGACGCCGGCAGAGAUGUCGGUUCCCUUGUGGCCUGUGUGCAGGUGGUGCAUGGCUGUCGUCAGCUCGUGUCGUGAGAUGUUGGGUUAAGUCCCGCAACGAGCGCAACCCUUGUCCUAUGUUGCCAGCGGGUUAUGCCGGGGACUCGUAGGAGACUGCCGGGGUCAACUCGGAGGAAGGUGGGGAUGACGUCAAGUCAUCAUGCCCCUUAUGUCCAGGGCUUCACACAUGCUACAAUGGCCGGUACAAAGGGCUGCGAUGCCGUGAGGUGGAGCGAAUCCUUUCAAAGCCGGUCUCAGUUCGGAUCGGGGUCUGCAACUCGACCCCGUGAAGUCGGAGUCGCUAGUAAUCGCAGAUCAGCAACGCUGCGGUGAAUACGUUCCCGGGCCUUGUACACACCGCCCGUCACGUCAUGAAAGUCGG